AUUGAACGCUGGCGGCAGGCCUAACACAUGCAAGUCGAACGGUAACAGGAAGAAGCUUGCUUCUUUGCUGACGAGUGGCGGACGGGUGAGUAAUGUCUGGGAAACUGCCUGAUGGAGGGGGAUAACUACUGGAAACGGUAGCUAAUACCGCAUAACGUCGCAAGACCAAAAAGGGGGACCUUCGGGCCUCUUGCCAUCGGCUGUGCCCAGAUGGGAUUAGCUAGUAGGUGGGGUAACGGCUCACCUAGGCGACGAUCCCUAGCUGGUCUGAGAGGAUGACCAGCCACACUGGAACUGAGACACGGUCCAGACUCCUACGGGAGGCAGCAGUGGGGAAUAUUGCACAAUGGGCGCAAGCCUGAUGCAGCCAUGCCGCGUGUAUGAAGAAGGCCUUCGGGUUGUAAAGUACUUUCAGCGGGGAGGAAGGGAGUAAAGUUAAUACCUUGGCUCAUUGACGUUACCCGCAGAAGAAGCACCGGCUAACUCCGUG
rnacentral:rRNA from 1 species